CUUCCAUCGAGUUUGGAAGCCACAGAGGAAGCCAUCCUCAGUGCUGGGAUGGCAGCAGCAUGGACUCUUCAAGGACGUGGUGCUCACCGGCUUCGCCCACAACAUCCGAUCCUCGGAUACCACUUGGUUGAAAAGUUGGGACUUCUGGAUGAGAAGAAACCAUUCCUGCUGCUUCGAAGGAAGGAAGAUAUUAGACCUGCCACAACUUAAACCUCUAAAUAGAAACAACCCUUGGCUCCAUCGGUUGAGAAAGACUACUUCCCAUAUCCUCACAGCAGACAGACAACAUGUCUACCAGUGAGCUCGAGAACAUUAUCGUAACAUCUUCUACAAGGGAAAAGCCACCAGCAUUAACUUAUGUAAUAUAGAUAGUCCUUGACUUCAACCAUUCAUUUAGAGAACACAGUUACAAUGGCAUUGAAAAAAGUGACUUAAAACAGA